AGAGUUUGAUCAUGGCUCAGAUUGAACGCUGGCGGCAGGCUUAACACAUGCAAGUCGAACGGUAACAGGAGAAAGCUUGCUUUCUUGCUGACGAGUGGCGGACGGGUGAGUAAUGCUUGGGAAUCUGGCUUAUGGAGGGGGAUAACUACGGGAAACUGUAGCUAAUACCGCGUAAUAUCUUCGGAUUAAAGGGUGGGACUUUCGGGCCACCUGCCAUAAGAUGAGCCCAAGUGGGAUUAGGUAGUUGGUGGGGUAAAGGCCUACCAAGCCGACGAUCUCUAGCUGGUCUGAGAGGAUGACCAGCCACACUGGAACUGAGACACGGUCCAGACUCCUACGGGAGGCAGCAGUGGGGAAUAUUGCACAAUGGGGGGAACCCUGAUGCAGCCAUGCCGCGUGAAUGAAGAAGGCCUUCGGGUUGUAAAGUUCUUUCGGUGAUGAGGAAGGUGUUUGUUUUAAUAGAACAAGCAAUUGACGUUAGUCACAGAAGAAGCACCGGCUAACUCCGUGCCAGCAGCCGCGGUAAUACGGAGGGUGCGAGCGUUAAUCGGAAUGACUGGGCGUAAAGGGCACGCAGGCGGUGACUUAAGUGAGAUGUGAAAGCCCCGAGCUUAACCUGGGAAUUGCAUUUCAUACUGGGUCGCUAGAGUAUUUUAGGGAGGGGUAGAAUUCCACGUGUAGCGGUGAAAUGCGUAGAGAUGUGGAGGAAUACCGAAGGCGAAGGCAGCCCCUUGGGAAUAUACUGACGCUCAUGUGCGAAAGCGUGGGGAGCAAACAGGAUUAGAUACCCUGGUAGUCCACGCUGUAAACGCUGUCGAUUUGGGGAUUGGGCUUAGAGCUUGG
rnacentral:rRNA from 1 species